UGAACUAAUUGAUCUAAAAGAGAGUGAC
rnacentral:piRNA from 1 species